GUGGGGAAUAUUGGACAAUGGGCGAAAGCCUGAUCCAGCCAUGCCGCGUGUGUGAAGAAGGUCUUCGGAUUGUAAAGCACUUUAAGUUGGGAGGAAGGGUAGGAACCUAAUACGUUGCUACUUUGACGUUACCGACAGAAUAAGCACCGGCUAACUUCGUGCCAGCAGCCGCGGUAAUACGAAGGGUGCAAGCGUUAAUCGGAAUUACUGGGCGUAAAGCGCGCGUAGGUGGUUCAGUAAGUUGGAAGUGAAAUCCCCGGGCUCAACCUGGGAACUGCUUUCAAAACUGCUGAGCUAGAGUACGGUAGAGGGUGGUGGAAUUUCCUGUGUAGCGGUGAAAUGCGUAGAUAUAGGAAGGAACACCAGUGGCGAAGGCGACUACCUGGACUGAUACUGACACUGAGGUGCGAAAGCGUGGGGAGCAAACAGGAUUAGAUACCCGUGUAGUCC
rnacentral:rRNA from 1 species